rnacentral:rRNA from 1 species
CCUACGGGAGGCUGCAGUGGGGGAUAUUGCACAAUGGGGGGAACCCUGAUGCAGCGACGCUGCGUGGGUGAAGAAGCGCCUCGGCGCGUAAAGCCCUGGCAGCAGGGAAGAAAAUGACGGUACCUGAAGAAGAAGCCCCGGCUAACUACGUGCCAGCAGCCGCGGUAAUACGGAGGGGGCAAGCGUUCUCCGGAUUUACUGGGUGUAAAGGGGGCGCAGCCGGCGAUGCAAGCCAGGAGUGAAAGCCCGGGGCCCCACCCCGGGACUGCUCUUGGAACUGCGUGGCUGGAGUGCAGGAGGGGCAGGCGGACUUCCUGGUGUAGCGGUGAACUGCGUAGCUAUCAGGAGGCACCCCGGUGGCGCAGGCGGCCUGCUGGACUGCAACUGACGUUGCGGCCCGCACGCGUGGGGAGCAAAC